AUGUCAUCAGUUAAGGCGGGGCAGGGCAUUUUCACUUCUUUUGUGAUUCUUAGUUACUUCAGGCCAUCUGGGCGUAUACGUGCAAGUCACCGGGGAUGCGAUGGCUUGGCUUGGGCUCAGAGGCCUGACAUAGAUGACUGGUGCAAAGAAUAGGUAGUUUUCAGCUUUCAGAUAUUUACUGCCAAAUUGCUCUCAAGAAAAUUUGCUUCAUGUUAUCUUCCCUAUGGCAGGGGAUGGAUGGGAC
rnacentral:lncRNA from 1 species